GAACGUGGUCCUCCAAAUCCGAAGAAGAUGGCCGAUCGUGCAAUAACAACAAAUGAACGCAAGGGGAAAUCUAUAAAUAGGCCUGCAGUACCCUGAAAACAGGUUUUCGCCCCUGCGCACAAAAGACCACAUUUAUUUUCCUGCAUCUUUCUUUCCUGCAUUUAUCGCUUUUCUUAGGAGUAGUUCCUAUAACUUAGCCUCCUUGGAGUCUGUCUGCCCUCC
rnacentral:lncRNA from 1 species